CAAAAGUAGAAUUAAGACAUCCGGGAUAAAUGACUCAGCUGAGCUCAAUGAAGCCAAAACAUGUGCGUCCAGGAUUAAUUGGUUGCACAAAGACCAAGCCAGGAUGAGCAGACACGGAUUCAUUAAGCCAGGUGAAACCAAUCCUGGAUAGGUGCGCGCUCACGGCUCACUCAAAUAGACCCCGCCACAGAUCACAGAUUAACUGAUUUACCAUGGCAACUAGAGCCGCGUACUUUUCCCCGUCGGAAGCACAAAUCCUCAUGGAGGCAUACGAGGAGGUAAAAUAUAUAAUUAAGAAGAAAGGCAACACCGCCACAGUGAUAAAGCAAAGAGAAAAAGCGUGGCAAAGUAUUGCAGACCGCCUGAAUGCAUUAAACAUGAACGGGCCAAAACGGACAUGGCAGCAGGUCAAAAUCAAAUACAAGAACAUUCUGCAGAAUGCAGUGAAAAAGAAUACCCACAGACAAGGCACGGGUGGUGGGUCACCAAAGGCUGACCUUACCCCAGCAGAGGACAUGGCCUUGGAGCUAAAUAAAGGCAGGCCCGUCUUAGAGGGGAUCACUGGGGGGAAAGAGACGAGCAUAGGUUCCUCCCAAGAUGCCACCCGCUUCAUUCAAGUGUCUGGCAGCACUAUGUUCCUGUUAGAGCCACCAGCACAAGCACCAGACGAUGCUGAUCCAGGUGAAGGCCCCAGUGCAGCAGCAACAGCACAUGAUGGAGACGAUGAUGAUGAGGAGGAGACCAUCUCUCUGGAUUCCAGAAGGCAUGAGGUAUCAUGGAUCCAGAUGCUAUACAGUGGGAAAACCAGCCUGGCAACAUACUCCAAGAAGAUGACACAGCUCAAAAUAAAAAUUAGCAAUCAGUACAACCAAGUCAUCGUUAUAAGGCAUCGCCCUCUUUUGCCCACCCCCCCAGCACCAGGUGUGGCCACUAGCCUAUAUGAAGGCCCAAAAUUGUGUGUUCCUUUCUGCUCUGACAAUGGCAUGCCCAUUCGUGCGAGAUGUGGUGGAUGAAGAAGCACUUGUGCUGAGGAGAGCCUUCAGGCGAGAAAGGGUCUUCAGGGACCGGUUGGACCCACUGGCCUUCCCUGAUGACCAUCUAUAUGAAAGAUACAGGUUUUCUGCAGAUAGCAUCAGGUAUCUAUGCAGACUACUGGGUCCCAGGAUUAAGCACCGCACUGCACGGAGCCAUGCACUGAGUGUGGAGCAAAUGGUUUGUGUGGCCUUGCGCUUUUUUGCUAGUGGAGCCUUCCUGUACUCAGUGGGGGAUGCAGAACAGCUGAACAAGGCCACAAUUUGCCGCACAAUAAGGAGUGUGUGUCUGGCUAUCAAAGCAUUAGCAGAUGUCUUCAUCUCCUUCCCUGGCCACAGAAGACUCUGUGACAUCAAAGAGGAGUUCUAUAGGAUUGCAGAUGGUCUGCAAUGCUGACUAUGUGAUCAGCAAUGUUGUGGCAAAAUGGCCUGGCUCAGUCCAUGACUCCAGAAUCUUUCGGGCCUCUGAAAUCUAUCAGUGCCUAUCACAAGGUAAGCCACACAACCCCUAUUUAUAACCAUCAUGGCUGUGUCAAGAAUAUCACUGUGUUUAUGAGGUAGUAAUGAUGAGAUUUUGUGUUGACAGGUGAAUUCUCUGGUGUGUUGCUGGGAG